rnacentral:misc_RNA from 1 species
AGUGAGCAGAUGUGUACCAUUUUGACAAGGUUCUAAGAGAUAGCUAUGCUUAAUACUUUGGAGAAGGAAAGUUGAGUCCUGAAUCUUUAUCAACAACAAGAGGCAGAAUGAACAGGGAUGCAAGUAAAGUGAAAGAGGUAUGGAACAAAAUUCAAAAUGGAGUCAACUCUACACCUACCAUGGUGUUUUCUGUGAUUGGAGACUCAGACAGUUUUGUUCCAAAACCUUGGCCAAAAACAGUGUUCCAGACGGCGCUGAUAGAGGCAGCAAAGAGUGGCGGAGAAACCUGGAUUUUGUACCGCGGCAAUGAGAAAGGGGUUUCAAGAUGCGUCAGGGAGGCCUACCAGAGUUAUGGAGACAUGGAAUUCCGGAAUAACAACACAGGAUACGGAAUUGGUGUCAAUGAUACAAACAGGCAUAUCAAACUCAUCAGCAUAGCUAGAAAAGGGGCCUUCCGAACAGAAUAUUUAACCGAUCCUCACUUCGAGACCAAUGGUGAAGAUGAUGACAGUUUUCUUUUGGAGUUUGAAAAAUAUGUCUCCGAGCAAGACGUAUCAUUCUUCAGCCAGAAAAUGGACAUCAGUAAAAUUAUAUCUCUGUGUAGCUGUAGAACUUGAGCUUGACAUCUUGGAUCACAUGCAUGUGUCCAACACUCUGUUUAAAUUGCAUUUAAUUAAUAUCUUUAUUUAAAAUGCAUCGUGUAAUUAGAGAGAGGACAUCCGGGUUGAACAUAUUCCGUGUGCAAUGCUGUGGCAUACUGAUGUAUACACCAGAAUGUUAAGCCCCCCCCCCCCCACCCCCCUCAAAACAAUAAAAGUAUAUGUCAGUAGAUUCCCAUGCUAUAGUAUUAUAUUUCAUCCGUAUUCAAUAGAAUCAUUAAUAACUAUUUUGUGAUAAUGGGUUUCUGGUGGUUAUACCUUAUUUGAUUUAGUUCCUUAUGCAAUACAUGUGUAGAUUUGUUUAUAUGAAUAUUCUAUGAGAGUCCAAUGUUAACAUAUUUUACUACUAUUUUAGAAAUGCCUGUACCGAUAGCAGUAAUUGUUUGUGAAGGAGACAUUGACACCAUAGUCCACAUCUCAGAAGCGCUCAAAAAUAAACUUCCUGUAAUCAUAAUGAAGGGGUCGGGAAAAGCAGCAGACCUGGUUUUUGACUUUCUAGAAAACGAACGACAACUGAAAAAGAAGGCCAGCGUCUUAUUUGGUAUCCGAUUUGAUGAUAAGAAAUAUAGUGAACUAAAAGCACAUCUAGACACUAUCGAUGAAAACAGAGAUUUGGUCGGAGUAUUUGACCUUGACCAAGAUGACCCACUUAUGUUGUCCAAUAUUGUGGGGGAGGCUGUAAUCAGUUGUUGGUCGAUGGAGAAUAUUCUCCAAAGAAACAACGCUAAUGGUUUGGAGUUCGCAAACUCACUUAACCUGCGCCCUAAAACGGCAAUCCCUCACUCUCAAACGAACGGAACCACCAUCAAAGGGUCUUCGCUAGCUUGGAAACUUCUGCGCAGAAACUCUGUCAACCCCGAAAAAAAGAUUAUAGAUCAGAUUUUAGGAGGAUUCAAAUUGGAAUCCAGACCUUACGUGUUGAAUCCGAAGUUCUCUACUCCCACGUCGCUUCCAUUAUAUUUCUAUUUCGGAUAUCAGCUUCUGCAAGAAUCAGAUCUUUUGGAGGAAUGUGGACCUGUGCUUCUUUUGGAGGCAUUGAAAGCAAACCGAUGUGAUUACGUGAGAGUUUUACUGGACCAGAGGGUAAAAUUUGAUCCAAGAAAUUUACCAGAGUUGUAUGAGCAGACAGUUUCAUGCAAAGACUGUAAAUUUAAAUCUGAAGAUUGUCUGCAUAUGCAGUGGAUAUUGAAGCAAAUCGAAGAGAAACACGCAAAAAGAAUGUGUCACAAGUAUAGGUGUAAAGUCAUAAAAAUGAACAGUAAGAAAGUUGGAGAACAGCAGAAAUAUAUAGAAGAAAAGAUAGAAGAACUUCACCUGCCUGUGGCAAAAUCAGCUGAAGCACUAUGUCGAGAAAUCUUACGAUACGAAGGUGAAACGGCGAGAAUACCCUUUGAAAUAACCUUUUAAACUCUCCAAUCUUUAAUUAGGUGUUAAAAUAUAUCACACAUUGUGUCACAAAAUAACAACAAUUCCAUGCCCAUUUGUCCUUAGCUUUGUAUUAGGUGAUUUUACCUUGUAGAACUAGUACCAUGGAACACUCGUACCAUAGUGACAUUGCAGUGAUUCUCUUAGAGACAUUGUACACGGGUACUGUUUAGGCGAACCGGUACCCAAGAUAACAUUUAUUUUUCUAUCAUAUUGCACGAAAAUACAGUCAUUUCAUGCGUAUUUUUUACUAUCGUAAAUUAUAACAUAUGGGAAGUUUAUACUGAAACUUUCGUUCCAUGUAAAGCGAAAAAGAUAAAAUAUAUUGUGGAAUAUUUCCUGUGACGGAAGUUAGGACAAUAAAUAAAACAAAAUGGUUUAACACAUCUACAUGCAUAGGUCUAUCGUUCCACACAGUUUAGUAGUUCUAUUGUUUACCAUUUCUGAGAUCUUUCUGAGGCAAAGAUUUUUGUCUCAGGACCGAAAACAGAUAAACUGAAGUACUAAAUAUAAAAUGAACGCUAUCAUUGUGUACAUCUAUAAUCUUUUUUUUUUAUCAGACAAACGAGAAACAAAUCACUUAAAACAUAAACUAAAUACUUGAUUUUUUAAUCUUAAGACACAUAAAAGACACAUAAAAGUUUCUUAAGGUCAAGACCUAGUUUAUGAAAGGUGAAUACAGGUUUAUAAAAUUAAAGAUAUAAAUUCUUUCCAUAAUGCUUCAUAACAAUAGCUUUGUUUGAUAAAGUGUACCGGGGCUAAAACGUUUUUGUAAACACAAUGAAAAGUCAUGUUUUAAAUUAGCAUUUUCAAUGAAAUAUGAAGGGGAUAAGUUUUGUCCAUAUUUGACUAAUAAAAUUUAUCUAAAUUGCCAACACACCCCUGCGAAUGUUAUUGUCUUUCAAAUUUUAAAUCACGAUGUUUUUUUUACCCUUUUAGUUUCGCAGUAUAAAUUGUGCCUCGUGUUUGUAGUCUAUUUUAGAGAAUCUAGGUUUCUUGUAGUCAAUUAUAAAUUCAGAGAUUUAUUGAUUUUAAACUUUAUCUUCAUUAAUUGGUGGGUAAACUGUGUCCUAGCAAUAAAUGU